rnacentral:lncRNA from 1 species
GUUUCUUUUGGGCGCCAGGCAGUCCCAAGCCAGUGACUGCAGGCUGUCUCCCAUUGGGCGUCCUCUGAGCAUGUUUAUGGGCUGAGGUCUCCAGGGACACAAAAAGCUCGUGAGUGCUGACUAGGGAGACCAGCUGUGCCGAGGUUACUCACCUGGCAAGAGGGCCCAGGAAGAGCAAACGCCUCCUGCCCUAGAGUGUGCUCCCCGUAUUCAGUUUCAGGCAGACCUGUCUUCCUCAUGCAGGGCAGCUAGUGUGAGCAGCCUGGUGUCAGAUCCCAGCUCGGCCUGUACCUGCUGUGGGUCUCAAGACUGGGUGGGAGGGCGAUUCUGACCUGGCCGGUGGGGUUAAAUCCUCAUGAAAAAGAUAUUCCGGUGCCAUGAGGGAUGGGUGUGACAUGUUAAGUGUCCUCCAAAUGAUUGGGGAAGAACUCUAGCCCAAGGAC